UGUCGUAGCAUUUUGUGACGUGAAAGGGUCGACGUAUCAAGGUAAUAUAUCGAAAACUCUUUUACAUUCACAAUUAGUUCUUUAUCAAUUACAUCUAUACUAAACUUUAUUUUGUGUGUUGUGAGGAUAUCUACCACUCAUAUUAGUGGUGUGUUGAUCAACCCGACAUUUCAAAAAGCAAACGUGCUGCAAAAUUGGCAUGAUUAUUUGAAAGCGCAAUUGCUGAAGAGAUGCAUGAAGUUGGAACUAUUGCUGCAAUUGAAAUCGAGGAAGACGCAAUAGAGGUGCAGAAAAAACACACGAAGAAAACAAGGGAUUGUGGAGACAAAGAAGACCCUCAUUCAAUAAUUUAUAAGAAAAUCAAAAUAGAAAAGGAUUAGGGAUUUAUUGUUUUUUGUCAUUCCGUAGACAUUCAUUAUCUUUUUUAUGAGUAGAUUUCCCGUAGUCUUUAUUUAAUUCUCUUAUGAUAUUGCAGUAUACUUUCGUUAGUCUAUAAUAUGAGUACUAUUUAAGGUUCUUUGAGAAUUAUAUUUAGUAAUUUGGUCAAUUUAGGAUAUCUAUUUUACACAUAUAUUGGCAGCAAU